rnacentral:rRNA from 1 species
UACGGGGGGGCAAGCGUUGUUCGGAAUUACUGGGCGUAAAGGGCUCGUAGGCGGCCAACUAAGUCAGACGUGAAAUCCCUCGCGUCUAACCGGGGAACUGCGUCUGAUACUGGAUGGCUUGAGUUGGGAGAGGGAUGCGGAAUUCCUGGUGUAGCGGUGAAAUGCGUAGAUAUCGAGGAGACCGAGCGAGGCGGCAAGCUCGUUGCCAUGGCGACUGCCUGAGGU